GGGUCAAUACCCGAAACACCCAGUCGUCAUCGUUUACAGCGUGGACUACCAGGGUAUCUAAUCCUGUUUGCUUCCCACGCUUUCGCGCCUCAGUGUCAGUAUCUGUCCAGAUCGCCGCCUUCGCCACUGGUGUUCCUCCCGAUAUCUACGAAUUUCACCUCUACACCGGGAAUUCCGCGAUCCUCUCCAGUACUCAAGUCCUGCAGUAUCGAGUGCACUUCCGAGGUUGAGCCCCGGGAUUUCACGCCCGACUUAGGAGACCACCUGCGCGCGCUUUACGCCCAGUAAUUCCGAGCAACGUUUGCAUCCUCUGUAUUACCGCGGCUGCUGGCACAGAGUUAGCCGAUGCUUGCUAAAGGGAUACCGUCAAGGAACAUGGAUAUUAGCCAUGGCCCGGUUCGUCUCCCCCCACNGGGCUUUACAACCCGAAGCCUUCGUCACCCA
rnacentral:rRNA from 1 species